ensembl:miRNA pma-mir-128-2 pma-mir-128-2
GGGGUGCCUGAGGAGGAGGCCGCAACGCUGCCUGGGAGUGAUGAGCCCUGUCCUCUCACAGUGAACCGGUCUCUUUCCCUGGCAGCCCA